GAGCAAGGAUCACACCUGGAUAGCUCAAGCACCUGCCAUCCUCUCCGAUUUAAAGAUUAGGUGACCUUGUGAAAACUGAGCUAAAAUGUUGGCCUCAAGCUGGCUACACUUCGUCCUUUUCCUGACACCACUGGUUAUGUCCUGAGAUGUGGACUGUGUCGUGGCCUCUCCACACCUUCCAUGCACACUCUGUGGAGGACCAGGAAGGCUUAGAGCCCAAGGUACAGUCAGGAACAGGUUGGGGGCACUGGGCCAUGCUGGUCAGUGCUCUUCCUGCUUCUGUUGGUCCUCCUUGUGAAUUAAAAGGUCCCCAGGCCUUGCAAAUCCCAUCUUGGAGGGAGGCAGAUACAUUUUGUAUAAGAAAAAGAAACAAGAAAUAGGGAAAUCAAAUCGUCUGCUAUUGUCACGGUGGAGCAUGUCUACAACGAAUCUGCCUACACACUUCAUCGAUGGAGCCACAGCCACCGAACACUACAGAUGGAGCCAUUAGCACCCUACCACUGGCUAUUGUGAAAUUUGUUUUUUUUUUUUUUUGUAUCUUUGAGAUCCUGGGGCUAGACAUGCAUCUUCCACAAGGUUUUGCUUCGGGAAACCUUGUUUAUCCAGAUGCUCGUCUACCACUUGUGACAAUAGUAGAAAGGGAAAGUUUUCGAGGUGCCAGGCACUGUGCUAAAUGCUUUAGAAACAUUACCUGGCUUGAUUCUUACAACAACCCUAAAGGUAGGGACUACUGUCAUCAUUUUACAGAUGAGGAAAUGGAGGUUUAGAGAAGUUAAGACCCCUGGGAGAAGAAGCGGAGCAUGGAUUGGAAUCUAUAUGACUAACUCCAGAUCCCCGACCUUAACUACCAGGCCAUGUGAAAAAAAUGACUUUCUCCUGUACAGCUUUUAAGGAUAACUGUGUGAACAUGAUGGGCAGCUGUGUGGUGCUGCCGGCAGCCUUGAGGUGCAGGGGCCCUGCCUCCCACUCCAGGGCAGCCUGCUGAAGCCCAUGGUUCCCAGCUGCCUGUUGGCUGGCCUAGAAGCUGUGGCCCCACUCUGCGAUUCUGGGUCUUGGCUGGAAGUUUCAGAAGCACACGCAGCAGUGACUUCCUCCUUGCGGUGGCGACUGGAUCAGCAACUGCCAGGACAGUAAUGAGAUCCCCCAAGAACGGUUGCUGGCAGCCCACUACCGCUGUUGCUGGGGGCUGAGGGUUGAGUGGGUCUGAGUGCUUGCCUGUGAGCAAUUCAGAGCCCCAAGAGAUUCCCAAAGAAACUGCUGCUCUGAGGUUAUUCAUCUGAUGGGAAGACGCUGGUGAGAAAAGACAACAUUUCUGGGAGCCUGCUGGAGGAUAAAACCAACAUCUUGAUGACAGCAAAACAGAGAGAUGAAGACAACCUGAGUCCUUUACACCUUGAGUACACCUUAUACUACAGCUGGAACCCACUACUUCUAAUUCUCAUUAGUGAUACAGCUACAGUCCAUGAAGUCAAAAGGAGUUGGACACGUCUGAGCAACUCAUACCUAAGGCCUCAUGUGCUCUUGAGAUCUGGCCCUUACCCAGGACCCUGGAAUGUGUUAUCAU
ensembl:lncRNA